rnacentral:rRNA from 1 species
AGAGCGAACGCUGGCGGCAGGCCUAACACAUGCAAGUCGAGCGCCCGUAGCAAUACGGGAGCGGCAGACGGGAUAGUAACACGUGGGAACGCGCCCUUCGGUUCGGAAUAACUCAGGGAAACUUGAGCUAAUACCGGAUACGCCCUUACGGGGAAAGAUUUAUUGCCGAAGGAACGGCCCGCGUCCGAUUAGCUAGUUGGUGAGGUAAUGGCUCACCAAGGCGACGAUCGGUAGCUGGUCUGAGAGGAUGACCAGCAUCACUGGGACUGAGACACGGCCCAGACUCCUACGGGAGGCAGCAGUGGGGAAUAUGGACAAUGGCGCAAGCCUGAUCCAGCCAUGCCGCGUGGAUGAUGAAGGCCUUAAGGGUUGUAAAGUCCUUUUAACGGGGAAGAUAAUGACGGUACCGUAGAAUAAGCCCGGCUAACUUCGCGCCAGCAGCCGC